rnacentral:tRNA from 1 species
GCAGGAGUAGCGAAGUGGCCAAACGUGCCAGCUUCAGGGGCUGGUGGCUUAGUGCCUUCGGGGGUUCGAAUCCUCCCUCCUGCA